UACGUAGGGAGCAAGCGUUAUCCGGAUUUAUUGGGUGUAAAGGGUGCGUAGGCGGCUAGAUAGGUCUAUGGUUUAAGUCCGAAGCUUAACUUCGGUUCGCCAUAGAAACCGUCUAGCUUGAGUAUGGUAGAGGCAAGUGGAAUUUCUAGUGUAGCGGUAAAAUGCGUAGAUAUUAGAAGGAACACCAGUGGCGAAGGCGACUUGCUGGGCCAUCACUGACGCUGAGGCACGAAAGCGUGGGGAGCAAAUAGG
rnacentral:rRNA from 1 species